GUGUUGUAGGAAGCAUUGUCUUUUUAACUGUUUGAGCAAGAAGGAGCUUUACCGUCUCCAGGCUGUUCAGAACUCUGCUGCAAGGUUUUUAACUCACAUUAACAAAAGAGCACACAUCACACCUGUUUUAGCAGCAC